rnacentral:tRNA from 1 species
GGUGUAUAGCUUAGUGGUAGAGUACUUCCUAGCAUGUGCUAGGCCCUUGGUUUAAUCCCUAGUACCACCA